rnacentral:rRNA from 1 species
CGGGCACCGCCCCGGCGUAAGUCCCUUGGAACAGGGCGUCAUAGAGGGUGAGAAUCCCGUCUGGCGUCGUGGUAGGGCCCAUGUGAAACUCCUUCGACGAGUCGAGUUGUUUGGGAAUGCAGCUCAAAAUGGGUGGUAAAUUUCAUCUAAAGCUAAAUAUUGGCCAGAGACCGAUAGCGCACAAGUAGAGUGAUCGAAAGAUGAAAAGCACUUUGAAAAGAGAGUUAAACAGUAUGUGAAAUUGUUGAAAGGGAAGCGCUUACAACCAGACUUGAGCCCGUCGGUUCCCCCUCGCUUCUGCGUGGGCUACUCCGGCGGGUCCAGGCCAACAUCGGUUCGGGUGGCUGGUUAAAGGCCCCGGGAAUGUAUCUCGCCUCCGGGCUUGACUUAUAGCCCGGGGUGUCAUGCGGCCUACCUGGACCGAGGAACGCGCUUCGGCUCGGAUGUUGGCGUAAUGGUUGUCAGCGACCCGUCUUGAAACACGGACCAAGGAGUCGAAGAGCUAUGCGAGUGUUUGGGUGUCAAACCCGUACGCGUAAUGAAAGUGAACGGAGGUAGGAAGCUUCGGCUGCACUAUCGACCGAUCCUGAUGUUCUCGGAUGGAUUUGAGUAAGAGCAUAACUCUCCGGACCCGAAAGAUGGUGAACUAUGCCUGAAUAGGGUGAAGCCAGAGGAAACUCUGGUGGAGGCACGCAGCGGUUC